GAGAAAUCUGUAAACACUUGAAAUGUUCAGACUCUGACCUUUCCGGCGCCGACGGGUCCGAUUACGGCCAGCAGCUGGUUUGACUUCAGAGUGAAGGAGACGUUCUGAAGAGUCGGAGCGUCCAAAUUCUCUCCUCUCCCAGGUGAUCCGACCGGUCCUCUGGCAGAACUUCAAAAAUGUCAUCUUCAUCCAGCCUGCGCUUGGAUCCGAUACGGAACAGAGGGUUCAGCCACC